CUGGCCUGAGGAGAGGCCACAGCAGGCCUGGCGGGAGCAGGCAGGGCGGCACAGCAGGGACACACAGGAGGAGGCUGGGCGGCAGCAGCUGGGCUGGCAGGAGGAGGCACAGCAGGAGGAGGUGGGCACACAGCAGGCGGGUCUGCACACAGGGCGGCAGAGCAGGGACAUGCUGGAGCAGGGCUUGCAGCAGACAGGCUUGCAGCAGACAGGAGCACAGCAGG